rnacentral:rRNA from 1 species
UUAAGCGACUAAGCGUACACGGUGGAUGCCCUGGCAGUCAGAGGCGAUGAAGGACGUGCUAAUCUGCGAAAAGCGUCGGUAAGGUGAUAUGAACCGUUACAGCCGGCGAUGUCCGAAUGGGGAAACCCAGUGUGAUUCGUCACACUAUCGUUAACUGAAUACAUAGGUUAACGAGGCGAACCGGGGGAACUGAAACAUCUAAGUACCCCGAGGAAAAGAAAUCAACCGAGAUUCCCCCAGUAGCGGCGAGCGAACGGGGAGCAGCCCAGAGUCUGAAUCAGCUUGUGUGUUAGUGGAACGGUCUGGAAAGUCCGACGGUACAGGGUGAUAGUCCCGUACACCAAAAUGCACAGGUUGUGAACUCGAAGAGUAGGGCGGGACACGUGGUAUCCUGUCUGAAUAUGGGGGGACCAUCCUCCAAGGCUAAAUACUCCUGACUGACCGAUAGUGAACCAGUACCGUGAGGGAAAGGCGAAAAGAACCCCGGCGAGGGGAGUGAAAAAGAACCUGAAACCGUGUACGUACAAGCAGUGGGAGCACCUUCGGGUGUGACUGCGUACCUUUUGUAUAAUGGGUCAGCGACUUAUAUUCUGUAGCAAGGUUAACCGUAUAGGGGAGCCGCAGGGAAACCGAGUCUUAACUGGGCGUUAAGUUGCAGGGUAUAGACCCGAAACCCGGUGAUCUAGCCAUGGGCAGGUUGAAGGUUGGGUAACACUAACUGGAGGACCGAACCGACUAAUGUUGAAAAAUUAGCGGAUGACUUGUGGCUGGGGGUGAAAGGCCAAUCAAACCGGGAGAUAGCUGGUUCUCCCCGAAAGCUAUUUAGGUAGCGCCUCGUGAACUCAUCUUCGGGGGUAGAGCACUGUUUCGGCUAGGGGGUCAUCCCGACUUACCAACCCGAUGCAAACUACGAAUACCGAAGAAUGUUAUCACGGGAGACACACGGCGGGUGCUAACGUCCGUCGUGAAGAGGGAAACAACCCAGACCGCCAGCUAAGGUCCCAAAGUCAUGGUUAAGUGGGAAACGAUGUGGGAAGGCACAGACAGCCAGGAUGUUGGCUUAGAAGCAGCCAUCAUUUAAAGAAAGCGUAAUAGCUCACUGGUCGAGUCGGCCUGCGCGGAAGAUGUAACGGGGCUAAACCAUGCACCGAAGCUGCGGCAGCGACACUAUGUGUUGUUGGGUAGGGGAGCGUUCUGUAAGCCUGCGAAGGUGUGCUGUGAGGCAUGCUGGAGGUAUCAGAAGUGCGAAUGCUGACAUAAGUAACGAUAAAGCGGGUGAAAAGCCCGCUCGCCGGAAGACCAAGGGUUCCUGUCCAACGUUAAUCGGGGCAGGGUGAGUCGACCCCUAAGGCGAGGCCGAAAGGCGUAGUCGAUGGGAAACAGGUUAAUAUUCCUGUACUUGGUGUUACUGCGAAGGGGGGACGGAGAAGGCUAUGUUAGCCGGGCGACGGUUGUCCCGGUUUAAGCAUGUAGGCUGAUUGUCCAGGCAAAUCCGGAUAAUCAAGGCUGAGGUGUGAUGACGAGGCACUACGGUGCUGAAGUAACAAAUGCCCUGCUUCCAGGAAAAGCCUCUAAGCAUCAGGUAACAUCAAAUCGUACCCCAAACCGACACAGGUGGUCAGGUAGAGAAUACCAAGGCGCUUGAGAGAACUCGGGUGAAGGAACUAGGCAAAAUGGUGCCGUAACUUCGGGAGAAGGCACGCUGGUGUGUAGGUGAAGUCCCUGCGGAUGGAGCUGAGACCAGUCGAAGAUACCAGCUGGCUGCAACUGUUUAUUAAAAACACAGCACUGUGCAAACACGAAAGUGGACGUAUACGGUGUGACGCCUGCCCGGUGCCGGAAGGUUAAUUGAUGGGGUUAUCCGUAAGGAGAAGCUCUUGAUCGAAGCCCCGGUAAACGGCGGCCGUAACUAUAACGGUCCUAAGGUAGCGAAAUUCCUUGUCGGGUAAGUUCCGACCUGCACGAAUGGCGUAAUGAUGGCCAGGCUGUCUCCACCCGAGACUCAGUGAAAUUGAACUCGCUGUGAAGAUGCAGUGUACCCGCGGCAAGACGGAAAGACCCCGUGAACCUUUACUAUAGCUUGACACUGAACAUUGAGCCUUGAUGUGUAGGAUAGGUGGGAGGCUUUGAAGCGUGGACGCCAGUCUGCGUGGAGCCAACCUUGAAAUACCACCCUUUAAUGUUUGAUGUUCUAACGUUGGCCCCUGACCGGGGUUGCGGACAGUGUCUGGUGGGUAGUUUGACUGGGGCGGUCUCCUCCCAAAGCGUAACGGAGGAGCACGAAGGUUAGCUAAUCCUGGUCGGACAUCAGGAGGUUAGUGCAAUGGCAUAAGCUAGCUUGACUGCGAGCGUGACGGCGCGAGCAGGUGCGAAAGCAGGUCAUAGUGAUCCGGUGGUUCUGAAUGGAAGGGCCAUCGCUCAACGGAUAAAAGGUACUCCGGGGAUAACAGGCUGAUACCGCCCAAGAGUUCAUAUCGACGGCGGUGUUUGGCACCUCGAUGUCGGCUCAUCACAUCCUGGGGCUGAAGUAGGUCCCAAGGGUAUGGCUGUUCGCCAUUUAAAGUGGUACGCGAGCUGGGUUUAGAACGUCGUGAGACAGUUCGGUCCCUAUCUGCCGUGGGCGCUGGAGAAUUGAGGGGGGCUGCUCCUAGUACGAGAGGACCGGAGUGGACGCAUCACUGGUGUUCGGGUUGUCAUGCCAAUGGCACUGCCCGGUAGCUAAAUGCGGAAGAGAUAAGUGCUGAAAGCAUCUAAGCACGAAACUUGCCCCGAGAUGAGUUCUCCCUGAGACU